rnacentral:rRNA from 1 species
GACGAACGCUGGCGGCGUGCUUAACACAUGCAAGUCGAACGGAAAGGCCCUGCUUUUGUGGGGUGCUCGAGUGGCGAACGGGUGAGUAACACGUGAGUAACCUGCCCUUGACUUUGGGAUAACUUCAGGAAACUGGGGCUAAUACCGGAUAGGAACUCCUGCUGCAUGGUGGGGGUUGGAAAGUUUCGGCGGUUGGGGAUGGACUCGCGGCUUAUCAGCUUGUUGGUGGGGUAGUGGCUUACCAAGGCUUUGACGGGUAGCCGGCCUGAGAGGGUGACCGGCCACAUUGGGACUGAGAUACGGCCCAGACUCCUACGGGAGGCAGCAGUGGGGAAUAUUGCACAAUGGGCGGAAGCCUGAUGCAGCAACGCCGCGUGCGGGAUGACGGCCUUCGGGUUGUAAACCGCUUUCGCCUGUGACGAAGCGUGAGUGACGGUAAUGGGUAAAGAAGCACCGGCUAACUACGUGCCAGCAGCCGCGGUGAUACGUAGGGUGCGAGCGUUGUCCGGAUUUAUUGGGCGUAAAGGGCUCGUAGGUGGUUGAUCGCGUCGGAAGUGUAAUCUUGGGGCUUAACCCUGAGCGUGCUUUCGAUACGGGUUGACUUGAGGAAGGUAGGGGAGAAUGGAAUUCCUGGUGGAGCGGUGGAAUGCGCAGAUAUCAGGAGGAACACCAGUGGCGAAGGCGGUUCUCUGGGCCUUUCCUGACGCUGAGGAGCGAAAGCGUGGGGAGCGAACAGGCUUAGAUACCCUGGUAGUCCACGCUGUAAACGGUGGGUACUAGGUGUGGGGUCCAUUCCACGGGUUCCGUGCCGUAGCUAACGCUUUAAGUACCCCGCCUGGGGAGUACGGCCGCAAGGCUAAAACUCAAAGGAAUUGACGGGGCCCCGCACAAGCGGCGGAGCAUGCGGAUUAAUUCGAUGCAACGCGUAGAACCUUACCUGGGUUUGACAUGGAUCGGGAGUGCUCAGAGAUGGGUGUGCCUCUUUUGGGGUCGGUUCACAGGUGGUGCAUGGCUGUCGUCAGCUCGUGUCGUGAGAUGUUGGGUUAAGUCCCGCAACGAGCGCAACCCUUGUUCACUGUUGCCAGCACGUUAUGGUGGGGACUCAGUGGAGACCGCCGGGGUCAACUCGGAGGAAGGUGGGGGUGACGUCAAGUCAUCAUGCCCCUUAUGUCCAGGGCUUCACGCAUGCUACAAUGGCUGGUACAGAGAGUGGCGAGCCUGUGAGGGUGAGCGAAUCUCGGAGAGCCGGUCUCAGUUCGGAUUGGGGUCUGCAACUCGACCUCAUGAAGUCGGAGUCGCUAGUAAUCGCAGAUCAGCAACGCUGCGGUGAAUACGUUCCCGGGGCUUGUACACACCGCCCGUCAAGUCAUGAAAGUUGGUAACACCCGAAGCCGGUGGCCUAACCGUUGUGGGGGAGCCGUCGAAGGUGGGACUGGUGAUUAGGACUAAGUCGUAACAAGGUAGCCGUACCGGAAGG